GAGGGUUUGAUCCUGGCUCAGGACGAACGCUGGCGGCGCGCCUUACGCAUGCAAGUCGCACGGACCUUCGGGUUAGUGGCAGACGGCUGAGUAACGCGUAGGUAACCUGUCCAGUGGUGGGGGAUAACCCUUCGAAAGAAGGGCUAAUACCGCAUAAGUUCCGGGAGUGAAAAACUCCCGGAGGAAAGCCGCAAGGCGCCACCGGAGGGGCCUGCGUCCUAUCAGGUAGUUGGUGAGGUAACGGCCCACCAAGCCUGUGACGGGUAGCUGGUCUGAGAGGACGACCAGCCAGAAGGGGACUGAGACACGGCCCCUACUCCUACGGGAGGCAGCAGCGAGGAAUCUUGGGCAAU
rnacentral:rRNA from 1 species